GGGGGAAUUUUGGACAAUGGGGGCAACCCUGAUCCAGCCAUGCCGCGUGAGUGAAGAAGGCCUUCGGGUUGUAAAGCUCUUUCGGCCGGGAAGAAAUCGUGGUCUCUAACAUAGGCCAUGGAUGACGGUACCGGACUAAGAAGCACCGGCUAACUACGUGCCAGCAGCCGCGGUAAUACGUAGGGUGCGAGCGUUAAUCGGAAUUACUGGGCGUAAAGCGUGCGCAGGCGGUUUUGUAAGACAGAUGUGAAAUCCCCGGGCUCAACCUGGGAACUGCGUUUGUGACUGCAAGGCUAGAGUACGGCAGAGGGGGGUGGAAUUCCACGUGUAGCAGUGAAAUGCGUAGAGAUGUGGAGGAACACCGAUGGCGAAGGCAGCCCCCUGGGCCUGUACUGACGCUCAUGCACGAAAGCGUGGGGAGCAAACAGGAUUAGAUACCCUGGUAGUCCACGCCCUAANACGAUGUCGACUAGUCGUUCGGAGCAGCAAUGCNCUGAGUGACGCAGCUAACGCGUGAAGUUCGACCGCCUGGGGAGUACGGCCGCNAAGGUUA
rnacentral:rRNA from 1 species